GGGGUAUACUUGACACAAACACCAGGGGGUAUACUUGACACAAACACCAGGGGUAUACUUGACACAAACACCAGGGGUAUACUUGACACAAACACCAGUGGUUUACUUGAAACAAACAGCAGGGGUAUGCUUGAUACAAACACCAGUGCUAUACUUGAUACAAA